rnacentral:lncRNA from 1 species
CUUAUGCGUAUACGAUCGUGCAUUAUCUUUUUUUGAGAAAUAGGUAGCAAGCUACUUUCUUCAUUCAUUAAGUAAAAUGAAUUAGGCAUACAUGAUGAAAGCAACUAGAGCCUCCUAACCGCGCCAACGAAACAUAAAACAGAAAAAACAGAAAAUACCUAAAGCAAAUCCGUAAAACGGAAAACGAAAAAACGAACAUAACCUAAUUAAAAGAGGAAAUCAGAGGGAAACAAAGGUAAAACACAGAUUCAGAUAACGUCGGUCGAGUCUUACGAUCGUGCAU